rnacentral:rRNA from 1 species
GAUCCUGGCUCAGAAUCAACGCUGGCGGCGUGCCUAACACAUGCAAGUCGCACGAGAAAGCGGGCUUCGGCCUGCAAGUACAGUGGCGCACGGGUGAGUAACACGUGAAUCAUCUACCUCCGAGUGGGGAAUAACCUAGGGAAACCUGGGCUAAUACCGCACAACACUUACGAGUCAAAGCAGCAAUGCGCUUGGAGAGGAGUUCGCGGCAGAUUAGCUAGUUGGUGGGGUAAUGGCCCACCAAGGCGAUGAUCUGUAUCCGGCCUGAGAGGGCGCACGGACACACUGGAACUGAAACACGGUCCAGACUCCUACGGGAGGCAGCAGUGGGGAAUUUUGCGCAAUGGGGGAAACCCUGACGCAGCAACGCCGCGUGGAGGAUGAAAUCCCUUGGGAUGUAAACUCCUUUCGAUCGGGACGAUUAUGACGGUACCGGAAGAAGAAGCCCCGGCUAACUUCGUGCCAGCAGCCGCGGUAAUACGAGGGGGGCAAGCGUUGUUCGGAAUUAUUGGGCGUAAAGGGCGCGUAGGCGGUUUGACAAGUCUGAUGUGAAAUCUCUGGGCUCAACCCAGAGUCUGCAUUAGAAACUGUCGGGCUUGAGUAUGGGAGAGGUGAGUGGAAUUUCCGGUGUAGCGGUGAAAUGCGUAGAUAUCGGAAGGAACACCUGUGGCGAAAGCGGCUCACUGGACC